rnacentral:rRNA from 1 species
CAGCCGCCGCGGUAAUACCGGCGGCCCGAGUGGCGGUCACUAUUAUUGGGCUUAAAGCGUCCGUAGCCGGGGUGGGGAGUCCCCCGGGAAAUCUGGCCGCUUAACGGUCAGAAUGCCGGAGGAUACUCCCAGCCUAGGGAGCGGGAGAGGCCGAGGGGAUUCCCGGGGUAGGGGGGGAAUCCUAUAAUCCCGGGAGGACCACCUGUGGCGGAGGCGCUCGGCUGGAACGCGUCCGACGGUGAGGGACGAAGGCCAGGGGAGCAAACCGGAUUAGAUACCCGGGUAGUCCUGGCUGUAAACGAUGCGGACUUUGUGUCGGACAAGCUAUGAGCUUGUCCGGUGCCGGAGGGAAACCGUUAAGUCCGCCGCCUGGGGAGUACGGCCGCAAGGCUGAAACUUAAAGGAAUUGGCGGG